UACGAAGGGGGCUAGCGUUGCUCGGAAUCACUGGGGCGUAAAGCGCACGUAGGCGGAUUUCUAAGUCAGGGGUGAAAUCCUGGAGCUCAACUCCAGAACUGCCUUUGAUACUGGGAAUCUCGAGUCCGGGAGAGGUGAGUGGAACUGCGAGUGUAGAGGUGAAAUUCGUAGAUAUUCGCAAGAACACCAGUGGCGAAGGCGGACUCACCUGGUCCGGUUCUGACGCUGAGGCGCGAAAGCGUGGGGAGCAAACAGG
rnacentral:rRNA from 1 species